rnacentral:precursor_RNA from 1 species
AGUCCAAAGUAAUACAGCGUACGCCACAGCUGCCUACUCAGUAUUACUUUGGACCCA